UGGCCUGCAUCGAUCCGUCAUAACUGGGCACUGAAGGCUCAUUUGCUCUGCGGAGUGAAGGUCAUUCGGUCACGUGGUCAGUUUGGCAGGCACGGCACGACACGAUCGGGCCGUCGCGCUAUAUAUAACGUCGCCACAGCUCUCGCCACCUCCACCACCACCAGUGCCCAGUCCUCCCACAGUCACACAGAGCAAGAAGCUAGAGCAGUGUAGUAGGCGAGAACACAAGACAAGAGAAGAAGCGAGAGGGAGCUAAACAGCUACCAGCAAUGGCGCUCGUUCCUCUCUUGCUGUCGCUGCUCCUCGUCUCCUGCGCCGCGCAGUCGCCAGCCUCGUCGCCGUCGGCGUCGAACGCUGCNNNNN
rnacentral:lncRNA from 1 species